AUGGACAGCUCCCUGGCGCCCGGCUCAGGGCGCGGACUGCGGAAGGGAACAAGAGCGCGGAGCGUCCGCGCACCGUCAGCGGGAUUGGGCGGCGGAAGAGCACACUGCGUCUCUCUCCCACCUAUUUGGUUCCUCCCUUCCCCUCAGAGGGCAGCGAGAGGCCUGCAGUGGCUGUCCCGGGAGGCGAGUGCCUACAAGCGAGGGGACCGGCCGGAGCCGCAGCCGUCCUCCCCCCGCUCACCGCCUCUGCCCACUAGCAGUGCCAGAUCGCAGCGCCUCGCCCAGCCCCGGCGGGCGGGCGGGUGGGCGUCGCUGGCGCAAGGCCCGCCCAGCCCCUCCCGCCCCGCCAGAGCCUGGCCCCCGAUUGGCCGGCAGGCUGGAAGUGCGAGGAGGCGGAGCCCGCCUCUGCCGGCUCGCGCCCGGAAAGGUCGGCCGGGGAGCGCGGGGUGCCGCCGGGAGGGCGCGCGGGUGCGCGGCGGGCGCCUAGGGAGACGCAGCGGCGGUUGGAGCGGCGGCGCUUGGCUCGGGUCGCAACCUCUGCCUCCCGCCGCGGCCCGCAGUCCGCGGCGCCCGAGCUCCGAGGCGUUUUCCCGGGCGCUGGGCCCGCGGCGGCCAAGACGGCGGGCCGGCCGGGCGCGGGGCGGCGGGCACUGUGCUGCGGGCUGCGGUGGUGGGGGACGGCGGGCCGCGGCGCGGGCCCGGGGCCCGGCGCGUGCGGCUGGGAGGCGCUGUGGGGGGCUGGCGCGCGGGCGGCGGCCGGGGCCAUGGCCGAGGGCGGCGGGGCCGCGCGGAGGAGGGCGCCGGCGCUGCUCGAGGCGGCUCGCGCGCGCUACGAGAGCCUGCACAUCUCGGACGACGUGUUUGGCGAAUCGGGCCCGGACAGCGGCGGGAACCCCUUCUACAGCACGUCGGCCGCCUCGCGCUCCUCCUCGGCCGCCUCCUCGGACGACGAACCCGAGCGCCUCGGCCCCGCGCGGGGCCCCGGCUCCCCGGCGCCUGGCGCCCCCACCGCGCAGGAGUCGGAGGAGGACGAGGCUGGCGCGGGCUGGAGCUCCACACUGCGGGACCGCCCGCCCCCGCGCUUCGAAGACACUGGCGAUUUAUGUCCACCUGAAGGAAGGCGGUGGCCCUGAUGGGCUGGAUGCACUGAAGAACAAGCCCCAGCUGCACAGCAUGGUGGCCAGGAGCCUGUGCCGGAACGCGGCCGGGAAGAACUACAUCAUCUUCACUGGGCCCAGCAUCACCAGCCUGACCCUGUUUGAAGAGUUUGAAAAGCAAGGGAUCUACUGCUGUGGCCUGCUCAGCUCCAGGAAGAGUGACUGCACCGGCCUGCCGCCCUCCAUGCUAAGCAGCCCAGCCACACCACCUGCCCGGGGCCAGCACAGCAUCCGGAUGAAGGGGAGCAUGUCCCUGAUCUGCUGGUACAACAAGGGGCACUUCCGCUUCCUGACCAAUGCCUACUCGCCCAUGCAGCAAGGAGCGAUCAUCAAGAGGAGGAGCGGGGAGAUCCCCUGCCCGCUGGCCGUGGAGGCCUUCGCGGCCCACCUCAGCUACAUCUGCAAGUACGACGACAAGUACAGCAAGUAUUUCAUUUCUCAUAAACCGAACAAGACCUGGCAACAGGUGUUCUGGUUUGCCGUCAGCAUAGCCGUCAAUAACGCCUACAUUCUGUACAAGAUGUCAGAUGCCUACCACGUGAAGAGGUACAGCCGGGCCCAGUUUGGUGAGAGACUCGUGCAAGAGCUGCUGGGCCUGGAGGAUACCUCUCCAAGCCUCUGAUGUCCUGGGCGUGGCCCGGGCUAG
rnacentral:lncRNA from 1 species